rnacentral:rRNA from 1 species
GGAGGAUCCAAGCGUUAUCCGGAAUCAUUGGGUUUAAAGGGUCCGUAGGCGGUCAGGUAAGUCAGUGGUGAAAGCCCAUCGCUCAACGGUGGAACGGCCAUUGAUACUGCUUGACUUGAAUUAUUAGGAAGUAACUAGAAUAUGUAGUGUAGCGGUGAAAUGCUUAGAGAUUACAUGGAAUACCAAUUGCGAAGGCAGGUUACUACUAAUAUAUUGACGCUGAUGGACGAAAGCGUGGGUAGCGAACAGGAUUAGAUACCCUGGUAGUCCACGCCGUAAACGAUGGAUACUAGCUGUUGGGAGCAAUCUCAGUGGCUAAGCGAAAGUGAUAAGUAUCCCACCUGGGGAGUACGAACGCAAGUUUG